rnacentral:rRNA from 1 species
GAUGAACGCUGGCGGCGUGCCUAACACAUGCAAGUCGAGCGAAAAGACGCGGAGCUUGUUCCUCUGACGUUAGCGGCGGACGGGUGAGUAACACGUGGAUCACCUACUUCUAUGUCUGGGAUAAUUUCGGGAAUACGGAGCUAAUACCGGAUCAUAUAUUGAACCGCAUGGUUCAAUAGUGAAUGACGGCUUUGCUGUUUCUAAUAGCUGGUUCCGCGCUGCAUUAGCUAGUUGGUAAGGUAACGGCUUACCAAGGCAACGAUGCGUAGCCGACCUGAGAGGGUGAUCGGCCACACUGGAACUGAGACACGGUCCAGACUCCUACGGGAGGCAGCAGUAGGGAAUCUUCCGCAAUGGGCGAAAGCUUGACGGAGCAACGCCGCGUGAGUGAUGAAGGUCUUCGGAUCGUAAAGCUCUGUUAUUGGGGAAGAACAAAUGUAGAAGUAACUAUGCACGUCUUGACGGUACCUAAUCAGAAAGCCACGGCUAACUACGUG